AGGGACUCUGUUUUUCUGGUGGCGACCUGUUGGGUAGGAGGUUGCUUACAUUUUGGGGAGCAUUUCUCUCAGGAAGGCAUACAUCCUGCCAAACCAAUGUUAAUU